rnacentral:rRNA from 1 species
UACGGAGGGUGCAAGCGUUAUCCGGAUUCACUGGGUUUAAAGGGUGCGUAGGUGGGCAGGUAAGUCAGUGGUGAAAUCUCUGGGCUUAACCCGGAACUGCCGUUGAUACUAUCUGUCUUGAAUGUAGUGGAGGUGAGCGGAAUAUGUCAUGUAGCGGUGAAAUGCUUAGAUAUGACAUAGAACAUCGAUUGCGAAGGCAGCUCGCUACACUAUGAUUGACACUGAGGCACGAAAGCGUGGGGAUCAAAACAGG